GCAGGAUCUUUUCAUAUAUGUAAUAUGAUUCUAGUGGAGAGGACUUGUUUUAACAAGCUUGUUUUGAUUGUAGACCUUUUUUUUUUUUUGGGUGAAUAGUUACUGUGCUUAAUUGAUUUUAAACAAUGUAGUAGUCAUCUUUUUGCCCUUUUUCCUUCACAGUAUAGGAAUUUAGAGAAUGCUUUCUGGGUUUGCUGGCAUGGCUAUUUUCUUGGGCCUUCAUGUCGUCGAUGCGCAUUUCAUCUUGUAUCUUCUUAAUUAUUCUUUCUUACGAAUAUCAGUCUCUCAUGAACUUCAGCUGUAUUAGACGGGAUAAUUGCUGUAAAUUCGUCCUGAAGGAUGCUUGUAAUGACACGAAUGGCCGCCCCACAACCUUGUCCAGUUCUAACACGUAUACUGAGAUAGAUUGUACAGAAUUAGAUAUUAGUCAUGUAGUUACAAUUCUGUCCUUUUAUUUUUUAUUUUUAAUUUGGAAGCCCUUUUCCUAACUUCGUACCUGUUACAGCUUUUAGGAAAAUUAUAAAUUGACCAAAUUUCAUUUUUAAAUUUUAAUCGUACAUUUUAUUAAAUUUACAAUUUUUAUUUAGUUUUUAAUCACAAAUUUAAUGGAGACUGGUAGCUUAAAAUUUCAAAAAGUUUUGUCAAAUAUGGCUUAAUGAAAGAUGUACGUGGCAAUUAUAGCCUCAAAAGAAGACACUGUCUAGAAAGGAGUUAAAUAUUUCAUUGGCUGUUACUUUACAUCACGUCAUGGUUUAUUUGUUGAACUUUUAAAAUUGUCCCAUUGGCCAUUGAACUUUACUCCAUUAUUGCCAUUGCUCACCGGUUGAAUUUGUCAGUAGACGUGUUGAUUUGGUGGAUGGAGAGUUGAGCUGACCGUUUAAUUGUCUACAAAUGUUAAAUGUUCGCGAAAUCAGUUAGCCAAAAACUCCUUUAUGAAGAAAUUGAAUUCCUUUGUGCAAGCUACCUUCGUCAGACAAGGGUAAAGGUCAUGUAGAAGAUAGUGGGAAAAAGGGGAAGGGCUGCGUGAAAUUAGACNNNNN
rnacentral:lncRNA from 1 species